rnacentral:rRNA from 1 species
UACGAAGGGGGCUAGCGUUGCUCGGAAUCAUUGGGCGUAAAGCGCGCGUAGGCGGCCCGGUAAGUCCGUUGUGAAAGUCAAAGGCUCAACCUUUGAACGCCGAUGGAUACUGCCGGGCUAGAGUCCGGAAGAGGCGAGUGGAAUUCCUGGUGUAGCGGUGGAAUGCGCAGAUAUCAGGAGGAACACCAAUAGCGAAGGCAGCUCGCUGGGACGGUACUGACGCUGAGGCGCGAAAGCGUGGGGAGCGAACAGG